ACCCCCAACAGGAGAUUUUGUAAAUAGCAAGUGACGUCACAGGAAGUAAAAAUCGGUGGAUGUUUACAUGGUGCUUGAUGUCUGAUUGUUAUCCACGUCCAUCUGCCUCCAUCCUUCGUCUUUCGUGUCAUCGUCUUUUCACACUUUCUGCAUUAUUAAACCUGUGGACAAAGAGAAUUGUCUUCAGUGUGUUAAUGGAAGAAAGGUGUUGAACCUUGCUGCCGGUCCUUUACUUCGUGGUGAAGUGGGAAAGACAGUACACUGGUAAACACAUUUUUAAAAGAGAAACUCAAUACUUCCCCCAAAAUCUGAGCUGAGAAACAAGCAGGGUAGAAUAUUUGUUUUUGUCCUAUUCUACAAAUGUUUUCACUUGUGUAACUUGUUUGUAACCAGUAGAAAGAAAACAAAGCACAAAUCUUCUGGCUGUAGCGUACAUGAGUGCUGACAAACCAAUGUAUUUUGCAUAUUCCUGUUUUUGCUAAAUCUUUGUUCAAAUCUUGGUUUUGACAAUUUUCCGCUCCCUUAUGGUUUGUGUGACAUUUAUAAGCCACGUGUGAGCGGAAGCCUCUGGUGUUUGCAUUAUGUGGUAAGCAAAGUAUUGCUUACCAAAUAAAGGUGACGUCCACCAGAAAUAAAAACGACAGUUUCAGGAGAAAGACAUUCACAUUUAACAUGUUACCUGUUUCUUAGAAGCACAAACUGAAGAAUAUUUAUUCUUCUGUCAGCAGAUACGGCCUCUAAAGUGGGAAAUGUCUGCCGUCAGUUAAAUAAUGAAGAUUUGUUUUCAGUUCCCUCCAGUCAGUGCUUGGUAGACCGGCCUUUUAGUGCAGUUACACCAACCUUUGUUAGGUUAGGUUAGGUUGUCUCUACCCCCACUGUAAAUCCAGAGAUUGACAUUUAUCCAUGCUUGUGCACAGAUUGUGUGGAGAGUGUCAGGGUCUGUGUUCUUCUUUUGUUUCUUUUUGUUUUUCUUUUUUUUUUUGUUGUCUCCCUGGAGCACCUGCUGCUUCCCAUGGCACCCACCAGGUGUCGCUAGGAUGCAGAGCCCCUGGAGUUGUGCCAUGCCAACCCCAUCGACACACCUGCAGCUUGUUUGGAGGGCUCGGCCUGGGUGCUUAUAGGACAGUGGCGGAACGACUCCUCUCCGCCUGAGUGUUUUGUUUACCUCGGUAAACCCGCCGUCUCCUUGAUUUCCCGAGUGAGCCGUCUGCCCCGGAAUUCCUAGCCUCCGUUGCUACUCGAUCGCUUUGGACGCCUCCCCAAGAGACCAGGAUUUCCUGUCCGCCCUCCAACCAGCUCAGUUCUCCAGUACUCUGCCAGCAGUCAUACUCACCCCCUCCAAUCGGACGAACCGGUUACCCGCUCCAGAACCCAUCUCCUUUCCCUUUUUCCUCGGUCUCAAUAAAUCAUUAUUGUGCUUUAA